rnacentral:rRNA from 1 species
AUUCCAGCUCCAAUAGCGUAUACUAAAGUUGUUGCAGUUAAAAAGCUCGUAGUUGAAUUUCUGGUCGUGAAAAGUGGUCCGUUCCGCAAGGAAUGUGUACUGUCUAUUCAUGUCCAUCCUCGGAGUUAGUGUGUAUUACUUUAAUCGGUCGUGCAUGCAAUACUUCGUCAUUUACUGUGAGCAAAAUAGAGUGUUCAAAGCAGGCUUAUGCCGUUGAAUAUAUUAGCAUGGAAUAAUAAGAUAUGACUUUGGUCUUAUUUUGUUGGUUUCUAAGGCCGAGGUAAUGAUUUAUAGGGAUAGUUGGGGGCGUUUAUAUUCCGUUGUCAGAGGUGAAAUUCUUGGAUUUACGGAAGAUAAACUACUGCGAAAGCAUUCGCCAAGGAUGUUUUCAUCA